GACAAAUUAAUUUUUAAAAAUAUUAUAAAUUACAUAAACUAUUAAUCCCACAGUGAAAAUUUUGUUAUCAGUAAUUUAAAUUUUUUGCUAUAAUAGAUACAAAUGAUAAAAAAAAAACAUGAGCAAAAAGCAUCAUUUAAUAAAUAUUAAUAUUAAAAUAUACUAUAUAUAUGUUACUAUCAUUUAAAUUUAAUUAUAUACCAUAUCAAAUAAAAAAAAAUAUUCUUUUGGAUUAAUA
rnacentral:lncRNA from 1 species